rnacentral:lncRNA from 1 species
GGAAACUAUUUUAACAAGCUCACUAGGUGGUUCUUAUGAAUGUUAGAGUUUGCGAACCACAGUUCUCACCCAGGUGGAGUUUAGCUCCCUUUACAGGAAGUUUCGUGUGAAACUUAGCUUCCUUUGGGCUGUUCCUGCCUGAGAAAUAUGGUAGGAGCAGCAAGAAAUUUUCCCAGCCACUAAUGCCUAAAGUAUUUGUUCACUGAAGCUCUGCAUGUUUUAAGUGAUGGAAAGACUCAUCUAAUCCCCAUGUUGGGUGCACCUGCUUAGAUCUCAUUCAAAGCCCCUGCCACAAGAACACCGAGAACAGACAACCAGUGAUUGCUUUUUCACCCUGCAAAAACAUCUCAGGAAAGGAACUACUACAGGCCUGACCACCUACUUGGAAUGCAGUGGAAGGAAAAGUACAGCAAACAAAACUUACAUUAAGGGGCCGGUCCCAUGGCCGAGUGGUUAAGUUCACAUGCUCCACUUCAGUGGCCCGGGGUUUCGCUGGUUCAGAUCCUGGGCACCGACAUGGCACCGCUCAUCAAGCCCUGCUGAGGCGGCGUCCCACACAGCACAACCAGAAGGACGUACAACUAGAAUAUACAACUAUAUAUACAACUAUGUGCUGGGGAGGCUUUGAGGAGGAGAAGAAGAAGAAAAAAAAGAAGACUGGCAACAGAUCUUAGCUCAGGUGCCGAUUUAAAAAAAAAAAAAAACCCAAAAACUUACAGUAAUAUUCUUUGGAGUUUGGCAGUGGUUUUGAUAAACAACACUUUUUCCCUCCUGAGUUUGUAGGAGACAUGGAGAUCAAAACGUUUGCUUUAUUACUGAUAAAGCUGAUUUGAGACUAUGACUUUGGGUCUGUUCCAAGUGGCUCACUCUACAGACCAACCCACCGCAAUCCCAGGGGAGCCACUCAGCACGUGGGGAGACAGAUCAAGAGGAGGUGAACCCCCAGGGGCUGGGCUGCGCAUGCCCAGUUCUUUCCCCAAGCCAACCAAUCAGAUAAGCCACUUUCUCUCUCUUUCUCUAGUAGGAGAACCCUCUCGUGAGGCUAAUUCCCCCCUAAGAAAUAUCUAUAAAGAUAACCCUGACAUGCUGUGAAAUCUAGACAUCCAGCUAAGGCCUCUCUCCUGGGCUCCAGACCAGUAUUUCCCACUGUCUGCUGCACAUCUCCACGUGGAUGAACUUGAGGCAGCUCACAUUCAACCUUGCCAAAACCGAAUUCAUGACUCUCUCACUGCAACCCUCCCCUAGUAUCCUCAGAAUUGAUUAACGACAAGACAAUCUGUCUUCCAACCCAAGGAGAGUGGGAACUGUCCUCUACUCUUCCCCUAAUCCAGUUUGGCAGCAGAUCCCAUCCAUCCUUCCUCAGAACCUCUCUAAACAUGUCCCCUCUGCCGCUUGGUUUCCUCUCUCCCCAUUUCUUGACUAUGAGCAGGAACCUCACCAUCUCCCUGCUCCGCUUCUCCCAUCCACAGGUGUAGGACUCGGUCUGCAUUUCUAGCCUCUUAUAACUUUUGCUCAAAUGCAUCCAAUCCUUUCGCAUGGUCCUACUAUGACAUCUAAUUUUCAGAACCUCCAUCCUUUGCACAGGUGGUUUCCUCUGCAUUGCUUUCCACCCUCCCACCUCUCGCAACUGUUGGUCUGCCUGGAAAACUCCUAAUUGUCCUACAACAUUCAACUCCAAGGUUAUUCUUCCCUAACACCAUCCAUGCCCAAGGCAGAAGUAAGGGAUCCCUCUGCUGUGCUCCCACA